UACGGAGGGUGCGAGCGUUAAUCGGAAUUACUGGGCGUAAAGCGUGCGCAGGCGGUUUGUUAAGCAAGAUGUGAAAGCCCCGGGCUCAACCUGGGAAUCGCAUUUUGAACUGGCAAGCUAGAGUCUUGUAGAGGGGGGUAGAAUUUCAGGUGUAGCGGUGAAAUGCGUAGAGAUCUGAAGGAAUACCGGUGGCGAAGGCGGCCCCCUGGACAAAGACUGACGCUCAUGCACGAAAGCGUGGGGAG
rnacentral:rRNA from 1 species